GACGAACGCUGGCGGCGUGCCUAAUACAUGCAAGUCGAGCGAAGCGGCGGAUGGGUGAGCAACGCGUGGGCAACCUGCCCUUAAGUCUGGGAUACCAUUUGGAAACAGCUGCUAAUACCGGAUACCUAAGCAUGUACCCGCGAUGCAUUAGCUAGUUGGUAAGGUAUCGGCUUACUAAGGGGAUGAUGCAUAGCCGAGUUGAGAGACUGAUCGGCAAAAUUGGGACUGAGACACGGCCCAAACUCCUACGGGAGGCAGCAGUAGGGAAUCUUCCACAAUGGACGAAAGACUGAUGGAGCAACGCGGCGUGAGUGAAGAAGAUUUUCGGAUCGUAAAGCUCUGUUAUUGGUGAAGCGGUAAUCAACCAGAAAGUCACGGCUAACUACGUGCCAGCAGCCGCGGUAAUAC
rnacentral:rRNA from 1 species